AGGUUUUUCUCUGGCCCCGCCCACUGAAUUCUCCCUCGGCCAAUCAGAUUCUUUGUGUCUCCAGAGCAGAAAUGUCUGAGGAAGUAAAAGCACAAUCAGCUUGAUGUUGAGGAGAAGGGCUGUGCAGCAGAGAGGCUGUUUAGUUGCUUGAUUCUACUGCAGUGGAAGAACAUUGUUCAUCUGCUGUCUGUUUGGCUUCAACAACUCCAAAGACAUGUUGCUUUACCUCUUUUUGCUUUUAUCUGACUUCAUAGGACUAAUAGCUGGAGACACAAUCUCUCCUGAACGAGCUGAAGUCAGUGGAACAGAAGGACAAUCUGUCACACUCAGAUGUCGAUAUGAGACAAACCUGAGGAAUAUUUACCUUCACUGGUACAAACAUCAUUCUGACUUUCAGGCUCCUCAGUUCAUUCUCUGGAAAGGAGCAAGAGACUACAGUGAUAGUGAACAUAUUCCUGAUAAACGAUAUCAGUCCCAAACAACAGAUACAUCAACUACACUGACCAUAAGCAGACUAACCCUGGCAGACACAGCUCUCUACUACUGUGCUCUAGAAACACAGUGAUACAAAGUGUAGAAGAGACUGUACAAAAACCUGAGCACAGAUAUCUGACUCCUCUUCAAAGAGGAGGGAAGUGGUAUUCAAACCACAGCUUCAUAUCAGAUGGAUUCUGCUAAUUCCUCUUUUAUCAGAGUCACUGUGGUUACAGCUGCUACAACAUACAGUGAUAUGAGAGGAGGAACAGGCUGAGGGAGGAGCAACACUGUCAAAGAGCAGGACAGACAACAACUCCCACUGUCAGAUGCAUUCAAUAUCUAAAGCAUACAUAACACAGAUACUGUGUGUAAGAUGCUCUCACUGCUUUACUGUGGAAUGUUUCCUUUGGUUCUCAUCAUACUAAAAGGUGUCAGCUGUGAACAACUGACUCCAGUCAAGGAUGAAGAGUUCAGUUCAGAAGGCAGCUCUGUUACUCUGUCCUACACAUACUCCAAAAAAGCAACUAAUGAAAAUUUCUUCUGGUAUCGACAACAUCCAGGAAAACCACC